GGCAGAGGCAGAGGAGUCCAAGAACAUGAAAAAACGGAAGCUUGUCACCCACAUGCUGGGAAGGAUGUACGAGGAGUCAGGAGGGGUUUGAAGUAGGCAGAUGAGCGCAAGGCCCCAGGACUGCGGUGGAAUGAACCGCCCCCACCCCCAGGACGGAGUUCUAUCGCCCCACGGAGAAAAGAACAUUGUCCAGAGGCUGCCGUUGGUGGAAACAGCAAACGGCGAAGAAACGGCUGGAGGAGGGAGAAGACUUCGCGAGCAGAGCCUAACGCAAGCCCUGGGAGGCCGAUCCGAAGUCCUGCGCGCGGCCAUGCACCCUGGGCCUCCGCCCACUUCCCCUCCCUCGCGGCGCCCUCUCGACCCCCUGGGACCCGCGGACGAAACCGAGCCCGCGGAGCCCCGAUGCUCUCCCCCAGUAACUGUUGCAGAGGCGGGAGAACUUUUAUUCCGUAGCCAGAGUUGCAGACGGACUCCCGAAGCACCCAGCCGGGCGGUGGAGGGGAGCCUCUGCAACUGCAGCCCCCAAAGCGGACUGCGGCGGGGGCGGGCGCGAAGCCAGCGGCACCUCCGCGCCCCGGGGCCCCGCGGGGCAGCGCGGUCCCACCCCCAGCCCGGCGCGCCCUCGCCCGACCCGGCCCUCGGGCGCGCGCCUGCGCCUGCGCUUGCGCAAAACGCCCCCGCCCCAGCGCCUCUCCAGGUGCGCUCGCGCUUCCGGCCGGCCUUCCCGAGGCGGAAACACCAGAGCCCGCGCAUGCGCCUUCCAGCUCUCCUGCUAGGUCCGGGGAGGGGGGGCCCAAGGCUUCAGGUGAUCCCGCCCCUCCCUCGCAGCGCGGGACCAAUCGCGAGGCGGUAGGCGGGAUUUUCGCGGAGGCGGCCCGCCCACACGCUCGCGAGGCGGGUUUCGAUUGGCUGGCGGCGCGGGCGCAGGUGCGCGCUUCCUAUUGGGUGUGGGCGGAGCGCGAGCCGCCGAGGCUUCUGCCGAGGCUGCAGGUGAGCGCGCGCGCGCCGCGGCUCCCUCCCGGGCUCGGGUGCGCGCGCGCGGGCCGGCGGGGGAGGCGGCCGGGAGCGAGCUCGCGGCGCCCGUCGCCUGUGCUCCGCCCCCUCCGCCGUCGCGGCCGCCGCCGAGGCCCGGAGGGAGGGAGUCGCGUCCCCGCCCGCCGCGCAGCCAGUCGGACCCUCGGUGCCGCCGCGAGCAGCCGGCCGAGCGGAGCUCCGCGCCCAGAAGCCGAGUCGCGGCCGCCGCUCUGCAGGUGCCGGUGCGGAGGCGCCCGGGCCGCAGCCGCGUCCCCGGCCCCGGCCCCGUCCCGCCGGCCGCGACUCCCCGCGCUCCCGAGGGGCGGCCCGGCCGCAGGAGGCCG
rnacentral:lncRNA from 1 species